rnacentral:SRP_RNA from 1 species
GCCAGGCAUGGUGGUGCGUGCCUGUAGUCCCACCUACUCGGGAAGCCGAGACAGGAGGAUCCCUCGAGUCCAGGAGUUCGAGGCUGCAGUGAGCUAUGAUUGCACCACUGCACUCCAGCCUGGGUGACAGAGCGAGACCCUGUCUCAA